rnacentral:rRNA from 1 species
GACGAACGCUGGCGGCGUGCUUAACACAUGCAAGUGGAGCGACGAACCAGGCUUCGGCCUGGGGCAAAGCCGCGAACGGGUGAGUAUCACGUGGGUAACGUGCCCCGAUGACUGGGACAACCAGGGGAGACCCUGGCUAAUACCGGAUGUGCUGUUCAGCCCUAAGGCUGAACAGCAAAGGAAGCUUCGGCCUCCGCAUUGGGAGCGGCCCGCGGCCCAUUAGCUUGUUGGUGAGGUAACGGCUCACCAAGGCUGCGAUGGGUAGCUGGUCUGGGAGGACGAUAAGCCACACUGGGACUGAGACACGGCCCAGACUCCUACGGGAGGCAGCAGUGGGGAAUCUUGCGCAAUGCGCGAAAGCGUGACGCAGCAACGCCGCGUGAGGGAAGAAGGCCUUCGGGUUGUAAACCUCUUUCAGGAGGGACGAAGGUUCAGGCGCGAAUAGCGUCCUGGACUGACGGUACCUCCAGAAGAAGCCCCGGCUAACUACGUGCCAGCAGCCGCCGCGG